rnacentral:rRNA from 1 species
UACGUAGGUGGCGAGCGUUAUCCGGAUUUACUGGGUGUAAAGGGCGUGUAGGCGGGUUUGCAAGUCGGGUGUGAAAGAUCCAGGCUUAACUUGGAGAGGUCAUCCGAAACUGCAGAUCUUGAGUGCUGGAGAGGAUAGUGGAAUUCCUGGUGUAGCGGUAAAAUGCGUAGAUAUCAGGAGGAACACCAGUGGCGAAGGCGGCUAUCUGGACCAGCACUGACACUGAGGCACGAAAGCGUGGGGAGCAAACAGGAUUAGAUA